AUUGAACGCUGGCGGCAUGCUUUACACAUGCAAGUCGAACGGCAGCGGGGGCUUCGGCCCGCCGGCGAGUGGCGAACGGGUGAGUAAUGCAUCGGAACGUGCCCAGUCGUGGGGGAUAACACAUCGAAAGAUGUGCUAAUACCGCAUACGUCCUGAGGGAGAAAGCGGGGGAUCUUCGGACCUCGCGCGAUUGGAGCGGCCGAUGUCGGAUUAGCUAGUUGGUGGGGUAAAAGCCCACCAAGGCGACGAUCCGUAGCGGGUCUGAGAGGAUGAUCCGCCACACUGGGACUGAGACACGGCCCAGACUCCUACGGGAGGCAGCAGUGGGGAAUUUUGGACAAUGGGGGCAACCCUGAUCCAGCCAUGCCGCGUGAGUGAUGAAGGCCCUAGGGUUGUAAAGCUCUUUCGGACGGAAAGAAAUCGCCGCCUCUAACACAGGCGGUGGAUGACGGUACCGUAAGAAGAAGCACCGGCUAACUACGUGCCAGCAGCCGCGGUAAA
rnacentral:rRNA from 1 species